rnacentral:lncRNA from 1 species
UUCCAUUUAAUUUUCCCCAUCUGCCUUCUUUCUCAACUCAUCUGUUCGUGAAACAGAGUGCAGAAACACAAAACGCAGAAUAACAAAAUCCUCGAAAAACCUCCAAAAUAAAACAUAAAAAGAAUAAGAAAAGGAACAAAAAAUUGAGAGCAGAAGCAAACCUUAAUCUCCCCUUAAUUAUCAGACACCAGUACUCAAAUUGUGUUUUACUUACAUCAGCAUGUGGGUACUUUAGAGAGAGAGAGGAGAGAAGGGAACAGGAAAAAAAAUCAAGAAAAUUACAGAGAUUAAUGUUGCUGCUUCAAUUGGUGCUACAACAAAACUAGUUUCUCUCGCAUCAUCAUCGUUAAAAGUUGUUCUUCCCCGAUUUGCGAGAUCGAGAAAUGGACGCGAAUUUAUAAUACACCCACUUUUGGCUACAAAUAAUAUUAUUUUCCGGCACCGAAUUAAUAUGCGUCGGAAUCACACCGUCUUGUUGGAGGAAUAAAAAAUAAUCAAAAGGUCGAUUCUCAACGUCGUUGCCUGUACAACAAUCUUGAGAGAAACCCACAAGAUUUACUCGCUUCUCUCUCUAUGACAAUUUGGGUAAUAAUUUCUUCCUGCGAUAGGUGAUGAAAUGAUGGGAUAAAGAAGUUGGGGUAAGAAUCGAUAACCGAUGAAAGGAUGGGGAAGAAGAAUAAUGAGGGGAAAAGAAUUUCAAUGAAUUUGAUAAAGAGAGGCACGCAGAUAACAAAAGGAAAAAAGAAAAAAAGAAAAAAGAAACAGAAAAAUA